GACGAACGCUGGCGGCGUGCCUAAUACAUGCAAGUAGAACGCUGAAGAGAGGAGCUUGCUCUUCUUGGAUGAGUUGCGAACGGGUGAGUAACGCGUAGGUAACCUGCCUUGUAGCGGGGGAUAACUAUUGGAAACGAUAGCUAAUACCGCAUAACAAUGGAUGACACAUGUCAUUUAUUUGAAAGGGGCAAAUGCUCCACUACAAGAUGGACCUGCGUUGUAUUAGCUAGUAGGUGAGGUAACGGCUCACCUAGGCGACGAUACAUAGCCGACCUGAGAGGGUGAUCGGCCACACUGGGACUGAGACACGGCCCAGACUCCUACGGGAGGCAGCAGUAGGGAAUCUUCGGCAAUGGGGGCAACCCUGACCGAGCAACGCCGCGUGAGUGAAGAAGGUUUUCGGAUCGUAAAGCUCUGUUGUAAGUCAAGAACGAGUGUGAGAGUGGAAAGUUCACACUGUGACGGUAGCUUACCAGAAAGGGACGGCUAACUACGUGCCAGCAGCCGCGGUAAUACGUAGGCCCCGAGCGUUGUCCGGAUUUAUUGGGCGUAAAGCGAGCGCAGGCGGUUUGAUAAGUCUGAAGUUAAAGGCUGUGGCUCAACCAUAGUUCGCUUUGGAAACUGUCAAACUUGAGUGCAGAAGGGGAGAGUGGAAUUCCAUGUGUAGCGGUGAAAUGCGUAGAUAUAUGGAGGAACACCGGUGGCGAAAGCGGCUCUCUGGUCUGUAACUGACGCUGAGGCUCGAAAGCGUGGGGAGCGAACAGGAUUAGAUACCCUGGUAGUCCACGCCGUAAACGAUGAGUGCUAGGUGUUGGAUCCUUUCCGGGAUUCAGUGCCGCAGCUAACGCAUUAAGCACUCCGCCUGGGGAGUACGACCGCAAGGUUGAAACUCAAAGGAAUUGACGGGGGCCCGCACAAGCGGUGGAGCAUGUGGUUUAAUUCGAAGCAACGCGAAGAACCUUACCAGGUCUUGACAUCCCGAUGCUAUUUCUAGAGAUAGAAAGUUACUUCGGUACAUCGGUGACAGGUGGUGCAUGGUUGUCGUCAGCUCGUGUCGUGAGAUGUUGGGUUAAGUCCCGCAACGAGCGCAACCCCUAUUGUUAGUUGCCAUCAUUCAGUUGGGCACUCUAGCGAGACUGCCGGUAAUAAACCGGAGGAAGGUGGGGAUGACGUCAAAUCAUCAUGCCCCUUAUGACCUGGGCUAUACACGUGCUACAAUGGUUGGUACAACGAGUUGCGAGUCGGUGACGGCAAGCUAAUCUCUUAAAGCCAAUCUCAGUUCGGAUUGUAGGCUGCAACUCGCCUACAUGAAGUCGGAAUCGCUAGUAAUCGCGGAUCAGCACGCCGCGGUGAAUACGUUCCCGGGCCU
rnacentral:rRNA from 1 species